UUUGUGAACUACUUUUGUACUGAAAUAUAUUUUCAUAUUUUUAGUUCGACUAUUGUGAGCUAAUGUUUUGACUAUUAGCUCUUGAGACCAUGACUUCGUUAGUAACAAAGUACUUUGAGUUGAAUGUGUAUGUAAUCCUGGAGUGCAAAGAACAUACCAAGUUGUUCUUUGUUUUCUUUGGUUCUGCAUUCGAUUCAAAGUGACAGGUUACUAGGAAAGGUUAUUGCAUACUUAUAAAGACUCAGUGAUCACCAUGAGUUCUUAUUUUGUUAGGAUGAAUCAUUGACAUUCAAGUGGGAGAAUGUAAGAUUGUGAAUGACAAUGAAUGUUGUAUUGGAUCAUUUUGUUGUAAGCCAAUUGUCUAUCGAGUGGUUAGCAACCAAAGUGAUCCGAUAGUCCUAACCUAAUAAGGAUUAUGGAGUCUUAUCCCUUGCAAUUAACCUAGAGGAAAUCUGAUAGAUUUAUUAUAAAGAUAUCGUAUCAUGGUGGGACUUAAAUACUAGAGAGAUAGGGUAGAUCUUAACAGCCAAUGAUAGGUCGGAUGUGAUGAAAACCCUAAUGAUAUAAAUACCACGGUUAAGUCUCUGCUUCCAUACACUUGUUCUCUCAUUCACGCCAAA
rnacentral:lncRNA from 1 species